UCCCUUCCCAGCCUUCCCUUCCCAGGCUCAUCAGUCCGAUGGUGCAGAGAUGGCAAAAAGGCCAAAGGAGGAUUCCGGUUGUUCUGGAGAACAGUGCAGGAGGACAGGAAAUAAUGGAGGAGGAGUAUAGGAGAUCCAGCACCUGCACUCAUGGCACGUUUUGAAGAGGCAGCGAAGGACACGAAGGACACACAGGAUCGCCAGCCAUACCUCCUUGCACUUCCAGGGUCCCAUGUGAAGCCCAUCAAUUGGCGAUGGAUUGAUACUGGCACACAGUAGGGCCAGUUACGCUGGUGGGCCAGCCCUGGGCUGGGCUGG